UACGUAGGUGGCAAGCGUUGUCCGGAUUUACUGGGCGUAAGGAGCGCGCAGGCGGUCGGAUAAGUCGAAUGUGAAAGCCCCCGGCUCAACUGGGGAGGGUCAUUCGAUACUGUUCGACUCGAAGGCAGGAGAGGGAAGUGGAAUUCCCGGUGUAGUGGUGAAAUGCGCAGAUAUCAGGAAGAACACCAAUGGCGAAGGCAGCUCUCUGGGACGGUACUGACGCUGAGACGCGAAAGCGUGGGGAGCGAACAGG
rnacentral:rRNA from 1 species